rnacentral:sRNA from 1 species
GGAUGUGGCCACUUGAAUCUCACUAUCUCCCACGGCCAGGAGUCUCUGCUGGUGUCACCCCCAUAUCUUCCCAGCUGGCUAGGCUGGUGUCCUCUUCCUCCCUCACCACUCCAUCUGUGUCUUUCCUGAAGCUGUGCUCAGUCAAAGAGGUCAACCUUCCCCAAACUGAGGAGAACCAGGCUUAGGUCAAGGGAGUGUGAGUAGCUGUCCCCUGCUCGGACCUCCAAACCAGCUCAUGGUCCAUUUGAAUUGCUCUUCCAAAUGUUCCUGUAUAGAAGACAGAGGUAUCACCCCACAGAGUGAGGAGUG